UUUAAAGAGAGUUUGAUCCUGGCUCAGGACGAACGCUGGCGGCGUGCCUAAUACAUGCAAGUCGAACGAACGGAGGAAGAGCUUGCUCUUCCAAUGUUAGUGGCGGACGGGUGAGUAACACGUGGGCAACCUGCCUGUAAGUUGGGGAUAACUCC
rnacentral:rRNA from 1 species